rnacentral:rRNA from 1 species
AGAGUUUGAUCCUGGCUCAGAGCGAACGCUGGCGGCAGGCUUAACACAUGCAAGUCGAGCGGGCGUAGCAAUACGUCAGCGGCAGACGGGUGAGUAACGCGUGGGAACAUACCUUUUGGUUCGGAACAACACAGGGAAACUUGUGCUAAUACCGGAUAAGCCCUUACGGGGAAAGAUUUAUCGCCGAAAGAUUGGCCCGCGUCUGAUUAGCUAGUUGGUGAGGUAACGGCUCACCAAGGCGACGAUCAGUAGCUGGUCUGAGAGGAUGAUCAGCCACAUUGGGACUGAGACACGGCCCAAACUCCUACGGGAGGCAGCAGUGGGGAAUAUUGGACAAUGGGCGCAAGCCUGAUCCAGCCAUGCCGCGUGAGUGAUGAAGGCCCUAGGGUUGUAAAGCUCUUUUGUGCGGGAAGAUAAUGACGGUACCGCAAGAAUAAG